rnacentral:rRNA from 1 species
GCGGAGGAAAAGAAACUAACCAGGAUUCCCCCAGUAACGGCGAGUGAAGUGGGAAGAGCUCACAGUGUGAAUCUAUGAUGGAAUUGUGGUCUGUAGUCAUGUGCAUCAUUUAGAUUGGACCAAGUCCCUUGGAACAGGGCAGCAGAGAGGGUGAAACUCCCGUCNGUCUAGUCUAUCAAGCAUGUGUCAAUGAGUCGAGUUGUUUGGGAGUGCAGCUCAAAGUUGAUGGUAAAUUCCAUCAAAAGCUGAAUAUUGGUGGCAGACCGAUAGCGUACAAGUACCGUGAGGGAAAGAUGCAAAGCCGCGCGAAAGCGCUGUUAAAGAGUACCUGAAAUUGCUGAAAAGGAAGCGAAGGAAACCAGUGCCAGCAUGGUCAUAUUUCCUCCUCUGCUUGCAGUUGAGGCGCUGUGUCCAGCCUUGUCAUUGUUCUUUGUGUUGAUAGGAAUUGCGCUUGGGGAGUUGACCCUUGUGGU